GAGCUCAGGGGUAGAGCAUCUGCUUUACGUACAAAAGGUCCCGGGUUCAAACCCAGACAGCUCCA